GAGCAAAUUAGUCUGGUAAAGUGGUGAAUCUUUACAUUGAAAGUGGGCAAUAACAAUAUGCAGUUCUCCAUGCCACACGGUUCUCAAACAAUACACGGUUCUCAAACAAUCUGCUACAUA